rnacentral:rRNA from 1 species
ACGGGGAGCAGCAGGCGCGAAACCUUUACACUGCACGACAGUGCGAUAAGGGAAUCCCAAGUGCGCAGGCAUAGAGCCUGCGCUUUUGUACACCGUAGGGAGGUGUACGAAUAAGGGCUGGGCAAGACCGGUGCCAGCCGCCGCGGUAAUAUCGGCAGCCCGAGUGAUGGCCGAUCUUAUUGGGCCUAAAGCGUCCGUAGCUGGCCGCACAAGUCCAUCGGAAAAUCCACCCGCUCAACGGGUGGGCGUCCGGUGGAAACUGUGUGGCUUGGGACCGGAAGGCGCGACGGGUACGUCCGGGGUAGGAGUGAAAUCCCGUAAUCCUGGACGGACCACCGAUGGCGAAAGCACGUCGCGAGGACGGAUCCGACAGUGAGGGACGAAAGCCAGGGUCUCGAACCGGAUUAGAUACCCGGGUAGUCCUGGCCGUAAACAAUGUCUGUUAGGUGUGGCUCCCACUACGAGUGGGUGCUGUGCCGUAGGGAAGCCGCUAAACAGACCGCCUGGGAAGUACGUCCGCAAGGAUGAAACUUAAAGGAAUUGACGG